AUACAACUUUCAACAACGGAUCUCUUGGCUCUCGCAUCGAUGAAGAACGCAGCGAAAUGCGAUACGUAAUGUGAAUUGCAGAAUUCAGUGAAUCAUCGAAUCUUUGAACGCACCUUGCGCCCCUUGGCAUUCCGAGGGGCACACCCGUUUGAGUGUC
rnacentral:rRNA from 7 species